rnacentral:lncRNA from 1 species
AAGAGGCACUGUUAGUUCCCUGAGACAUCUGGGGCUGGGCCUGGAGAAUCACCCUCAAGUCCACUCCCUCAGCCAUCACCACAUGUAACUGUGCCCAUGGAGUGCUAAUACCCUCAGCCUUUGUCUUACUUCAUAAACACCUUCCCACCCUCCUUUUCCUACUGGUUCUCAGUCCUCCCAGAUUCUGGCCUCCUGGUUUAUUUUCUUCUCUGUCGCCUCGGACAUGACUCAGGUUACUGCUGCUGGAGCCCAGGCCUUUCACUACCCUACUCUGCCAGAAGGCUCUCUCUGACUAGUGAUGACUGGGGCCUUCUGCCAUGAGCUGAGGUUUUGGUUUCUGUGAGAAGCUGAGUUGAAGAGUGUGUCUUCAAGACAAGAAGUGGUUUGUCAAGGCAAGGCCUCAAUCACGAAUGGAUAUUAUCUACACAUUUUCGUCUGGACCAUCAACAUAUUUACUGAGGUCCUCUCCUUUACCUCCUCCUCAAGUCUCUGACAGCUUUGACCUCAGAUUUGCCCCACACUGUGAUUCUUCCAUUUGCCCUAUAGUAAUCAAGAUUCUUGUAUGCAGACAACUGAAAUGGACUUUGUCUUAAGCAGAUAAGGAAUCUAUUGGCAGACUAAUAAGUAGCUCCUAGAAUUGAUGAGAAGCCUGAAGAACCAGCUGCAAGAAAUGAGCCAGAACCAAGAGAGAUUAAGAGAUCAGAACAGACGAAUCUACAUGUCUGGUCAGGGUACACUGGACUGCUAUCACUGACAACCUCUCCCCUACCUCCACAAGACAUAGAAAUGACCCUGGAAGCCCCAUAGACGCUGUUGUCACUAGACAUUGGAUGCUGCUGCCACUGUCACUUCUGCCAAAAUGAGUUAUUUCUAGACCUUGCUUCUCCAGUCUAGAGUUAUUAGUGGUCUAGAUCACAUGGCAUGCCCUUAUUGACAAGAAUAUGGAAACUGAGUCACUGGCCUUGCACUUUAGUGAUGGAAAGUGGGUCCUAUAGCUACCAAUUGAGAAAAGGGUUCGACAUUGAAUACUAAAGACAAAACUACUAUAUACCUUUACUCAGACAUUCUAUUUUGGCCCAAUAUUUAGCCCCAGAAGACUGCAGACUCCGAUUUUGUGUUAUGGAUCAGGUUUGGGCAUUCCACAUUCCAUGAAGCUCCAACCUGUGCCCAUCCUGGUUUUCAGGGUUUACUACUCUAGCUAGACAUUUAUAGCUUGUAAUGACUUUGUCCCAGUAGGCAUCCCAAGUUAAGACUAUUUUAGUUUCUGCUUAAAAUGAUCAGGUCAAAUUCUGCCCCUAAUAUACACUUAAUUUAUAUUGAGGCAUUUGAGUAUUUUGUACAAUUACCUAAGGGUUGAUAAAUUAUUUUCUUUUGUGUUCUAGGGUUUGAAUAAUAAUAUUUAUUAAAGGCCUAUUAUGUAUAGACAUAUUAUAAUUGUUACUAUAAUCUUGUAUUAUCACUCGUUUUUACAAAUGAGGAAACUGAGGGUCAGUGAGGUUAAGUGAUUUGCCCACAAAACUAGUAAAGCCAAAAUUUAGAUUAUAUUCUGAUUCCUCAGCCUGUAUUUUCCCCACUGUACCAUGCUGCCUCACCAGAAAAACUAAGAGUUCUAUAGAUACAUUAUUCCAUAUGCAGGUAGAGCUAAAAUUAUGCCUACCAAUUUUGCUUCAGAUUUUAGAUGUGUGCUUACUGUUUCUUGCCUGACAAUUUACUUUCCAUACUUGCCUG